ensembl:lncRNA
GACUGUGGUGCGUUCGAUGACUGCAAAAUGAUCAGGAAUCUCAUACUUCAGAAAAUAACCUGGGUUACAUGCACAUGAAUGAUUUGUGUUUCCUCUGCAGGUAAAGGUGUGUAAAGUGUGUGUGAGCUGAUGUGGAUGUGAAUUCAUCAGCAUGGAUCAGUGUGGGGACAGAGAGGAGGGAGUCCUUCCCUCUAAAACCAGUCUGUGUGGGGAACAUGAGAGCCAGACCAAAGCUCAGAGGAACCAAACUGGACCUCCACCCAGAAGGGUGUCCUAUAAGAGUAAACGGGUGAAGGAUUUCUUUCGUAAUUUAGGGGAGGGAAGGUCAUCUGAGAGAAGGUAGGUGGUGAUGAGACAGGAGGGGAACACAGCUGGGAGUAAUCACACACACGAGACAGGUAGAAAGCAAAACUGAACACACUGAACACUAGACGAAGGACUAUCAAAAGGAAAAAAAACAGGAAAUAUGAGAAACAGACUAAGAUGCAAACUUGACACUGACAUGGAGACACGAUUGACUGGUGAGACAGAGGGAACACAGAAACAAAGAGGAACUAAACUAGAAGGCACAGGAAACAGAAUAGAGCUUCUCUGUCUCUGAUUUUCAUGUUUUUGUGUCUGAGCUGUUAAAGAGUCUGAGAGGUCACAAUGAGACCCAGGGGAACAUCUAAGCAGCUAAAACGAAUGAGCCCUCCAUCAGGAUAACAUUGAACAACAGUUUGUUGUCAUGGGAGCGCUGACAGGAUAAAGUACUGCACUCCAAAAAUACUGUGUACAGCUAAAUCAAAAUAUUUGUGUCUGAUUUAAUUGUUUUCUUUUUUAUGUACUUUCUUGAUAUGACUCAUUUCAAAUAUAUAUAAUAACAGCG